AAUUUUGGUGGCCGAGUUUAGGCGAUUGAUUGUAAAUCUUUUUACGGGAUUCCCCCAGGAUUA
rnacentral:tRNA from 1 species